rnacentral:RNase_P_RNA from 1 species
CUGACUGGUAUGUAGUGGAUGAUAGAAAAGAAGUAAUAAGAUAAAUCUCAUAGAGAUUGGUCGCUCAAGAGUGUGGGGGAGGAAAGUCCGGGCACCGCAGAGCAGGAUACCUCUCACCUUCUAAAUUGGCUGGAACCUUGAAAGAAAACUAAUUUGGAAAACAACAACGCUUAGUCUUAGUUUGGUUUUUGCCAGUCUAGAAGGUGAGGGGCUGUCGUGAGGCAAGGGAAUAGUGCAACAGAAAAUACACGGCCCCAAGCGAGGCGCUUAGCGCCAAGCGAGGAGCAAAGGUGAAAUCGUGCGGUAAGAGCGCACGCUUUCGGCAGGUAACUGUCGUCUGUGAAAACCCUAUCUGGUGCAAGUUGGAUGGGUCCCUCGCCUUUAUAGUUUUAGCAAGAAUUGAGUCACCGAAAGGUGAUGAAGUUCUCCAAAAAACUAGAGUUUGCUCGACUCUAAAAGGUGAGGGAUUCCAACGCAUAGAUAAAUAGCCACUUAAACAGAACCCGGCUUAUCAAAUAGUCAGGCAA